AACGAACGCUGGCGGCGUGGAUAAGACAUGCAAGUCGAACGGAGAUUCUUUAGAGCUUGCUUUGAAGAGUCUUAGUGGCGAACGGGUGAGUAACACGUGAGUUACCUGCCCCGAAGCGGGGGAUAGCCCGAAGAAAUUCGGAUUAAUACCCCAUGUGAUCGUAAGAUUAAAGGCGGCGUAAGCUGUCGCUUCGGGAUGGGCUCGCGGCCUAUCAGCUUGUUGGUGAGGUAAUGGCUCACCAAGGCGAUGACGGGUAGCUGGUCUGAGAGGAUGAUCAGUCACACUGGAACUGAGACACGGUCCAGACUCCUACGGGAGGCAGCAGUGGGGAAUUUUGCGCAAUGGGCGAAAGCCUGACGCAGCAACGCCGCGUGGAGGAUGAAGGCCUUCGGGUCGUAAACUCCUGUCGAUGGGGACGAAAGCCCUGAGAAGGGAUUGACUGUACCCGUUGAGGAAGCCACGGCUAACUCCGUGCCAGCAGCCGCGGUAAUACGGAGGUGGCAAGCGUUGUUCGGAAUUACUGGGCGUAAAGGGCGCGUAGGCGGCGAAGCAAGUCAGAUGUGAAAGCCCCGGGCUUAACUCGGGAAUUGCAUCUGAAACUGUUUUGCUUGAGUCCUGGAGGGGGUAGUGGAAUUCCCAGUGUAGCGGUGAAAUGCGUAGAUAUUGGGAGGAACACCUGCGGCGAAGGCGGCUACCUGGACAGUGACUGACGCUGAUGCGCGAAAGCUAGGGGAGCGAACGGGAUUAGAUACCCCGGUAGUCCUAGCUGUAAACGAUGGGCACUUGGUGUUGGGGGUAUUGAGUCCCUCGGUGCCGGAGUUAACACGUUAAGUGCCCCGCCUGGGGAGUACGGUCGCAAGACUGAAACUCAAAGGAAUUGACGGGGGCCCGCACAAGCGGUGGAGCAUGUGGUUCAAUUCGACGCAACGCGAAGAACCUUACCGGGGCUUGAACUGUAACUGCUACUUCUGGAAACAGGGGGUUCUCUUCGGAGACGGUUAUAGAGGUGCUGCAUGGCUGUCGUCAGCUCGUGUCGUGAGAUGUUGGGUUAAGUCCCGCAACGAGCGCAACCCUUGCCCUUAGUUGCCAUCAGGUAAAGCUGGGCACCCUAAGGGAACUGUCGGCGAAAAGCCGGAGGAAGGUGGGGAUGACGUCAAGUCCUCAUGGCCCUUACGUCCCGGGCUACACACGUGCUACAAUGGCUGGUACAAAGAGUCGCCAACCCGCGAGGGGGAGCUAAUCUCAAAAAACCAGUCCCAGUUCGGAUUGCAGUCUGCAACUCGACUGCAUGAAGGUGGAAUCGCUAGUAAUCGCAGAUCAGCACGCUGCGGUGAAUACGUUCCCGGGCCU
rnacentral:rRNA from 1 species